GCCUUCGAAGAUCAGUGGCGAUCGUCCCAGCCCAGUAAGAAAGUUAUAGUUACAAAUGUACGCGGGAAGGCGGGGGUUCGAUUCCCCCCGAAGGCA